rnacentral:piRNA from 1 species
UGGUCCCAGCUGCAGAUUUGUUUGUCC